GCCCUCGUAGCCCAAUUGGCAGAGGCAGCCGACUUAAAAUCGGCAAAGUGCGGGUUCGAGUCCCGCCGGGGGCA
rnacentral:tRNA from 1 species